rnacentral:piRNA from 1 species
UCCCAGCAAGCUCUACAUUUGUGGUGGCCA